GGGUCAGUAGGUUGGUCGUGCCACCGGUACGUACUGGUCUCACUGAUUCCUCCUUCCUGAAGAACCGUAAUGCCAUUAAUUUGGUGUUGCGGGGAAACAGGACUGUUACUUGAAAAAAUUAGAGUGUUUAAAGCAAGCUAACGCUUGAAUACAUUAGCAUGGAAUAAUGAAAUAGGACGAUCGAUCCUAUUUUGUUGGUUUCUAGGAUUGACGUA
rnacentral:rRNA from 1 species